CCUACGGGAGGCAGCAGUGAGGAAUAUUGGUCAAUGGGCGAGAGCCUGAACCAGCCAAGUAGCGUGAAGGAUGACGGCCCUACGGGUUGUAAACUUCUUUUAUCAAGGAAUAAAGUCAGGCACGUGUGCCUUUUUGUGUGUACUUUAUGAAUAAGGAUCGGCUAACUCCGUGCCAGCAGCCGCGGUAAUACGGAGGAUGCGAGCGUUAUCCGGAUUUAUUGGGUUUAAAGGGAGCGUAGAUGGUUUGUUAAGUCAGUUGUGAAAGUUUGCGGCUCAACCGGCGAAUUGCAAUUGAUACUGGCAGCCUUGAGUACAGGUGAGGUAGGCGGAAUGCGUGGUGUAGCGGUGAAAUGCUUAGAUAUCACGAAGAACUCCGAUUGCGAAGGCAGCCUACUAGACUGCCACUGACAUUGAUGCUCGAAAGUGUGGGUAUCAAACAGGAUUAGAUACCCCAGUAGUC
rnacentral:rRNA from 1 species